rnacentral:rRNA from 1 species
CUGGACUAGAAUGUGAGGGAAGUUCGUCUAAUAGCGAACGUCUGGAAAACCAGACCCAAAACAAGGUGCUGCAUGGCUGUCGUCAGCUCGUGUCGUGAGAUGUUGGGUUAAGUCCCGCAACGAGCGCAACCCUCGUACUUAGUUGCCACCAUUAAGUUGGGCACUCUAGGUAGACUGCCGGCGUUAAGCCGGAGGAAGGUGGGGACGACGUCAAGUCAUCAUGGCCCUUAUGUCCAGGGCCACACACGUGCUACAAUGGGCGGCACAAAGGGUCGCGAACCCGUGAGGGGGAGCCAAUCCCAAAAAGCCGCUCUCAGUUCGGAUUGGAGUCUGCAACUCGACUCCAUGAAGUUGGAAUCGCUAGUAAUCGCGGAUCAGCACGCCGCGGUGAAUACGUUCCC